AGUGGCCAAUUAAACUGAUGUCUCAUCAUGUCAAGGAACAUUUAUUACAGAAGUUUUAGCUGCCACAGAUGUGGAUACCGAAGAUUCUUCUCUGUUUUUCAUUUUAACUGAAGCGCCUCUGUUUGGAAGCAUUGUGCAUCAUAAACAGAAAGUGAAUCGUUUCACUCAAAAGGAUGUAAUGAAUGGUGAGGUAAUGUUUUUACAUGCUGGUCAAGAAAUAGGCCCUAGUCCUAAAGAAGAUUCUGCAACUUUUAUUGUAACAGAUAAGGCUCUUCCCCGUUUAAUGCCUUAUGAUAGCCACAAGGUUUCUAUUACUAUAUUGCCUCAAAAUACGCGACCUCCAAGGUUGUAUUUCAAAAGAGCUAUACUUGUUGAUGAAGGAAAAAGGUCUGCAGUUACAGAAGAAAAUCUUUCUGCAUCUGAUGAUGAUACUUUUCCUGGAGAAUUGUUAAUUGUCAUAACAAAGCAACCUGAGCAUGGCUAUCUAGAAAAUUUGAGGCCUACUCCAGGACAUGAAAAAAGUGGUAAAAAUAAGCGAAUUAAUGCUUUUCCUUUGCAAGAUGUAAAAAGUGGAUUCAUCACCUUUGUUCAAUUUUUUCAUAGAAAUAUUGAACCAGAAUCAGAUGUUUUUGAAGUAUUUGUUACUGAUGGUGUUCAUAAUUCAACAACAGUGCUUGUUUAUGUAAGCAUUGUGCUUUUAAAUGAUGAAGUGCCGUAUGUUUUUGUGGCAAAUAUUUCAGUAAACGAAGGUGAUGCCUUUAUCAUGGAUAAUGAUUCCAUUUCAACAAGCGAUCGAGAUUAUCCUGGAGACAUACUAGUGAUUAGUGUUAAGAGUAAGCCCAAAUAUGGCACCUUAACACAUUUUGUGCAGGCUAUUAGCAAUGGCCCUUUGCUAGAAAUUCCAUUCAAUCAGUUAGCUGCAGAAAAUUUUGAAAGUAUUGUUUAUCGCCAUGAUGGUUCAGAGAAUUUUUUUGACUACUUUACUUUAUCUGUAAAUGAUGGUGUGCAUACGGUUUUACGAACAUGUUUUGUUGAGAUAAAUCCUGUAAAUGAUGAAUCUCCUGUGCUAAAGAAAAAUAUUGCCGCAGAAAGAGUUGAAUUCCUAGGAUCUUUCACCUUGUCCAGUGCUGUCUUGUUUUCUGAAGAUGCAGAUUCUACUCCUGAUGAAAUAUAUUUUGAAAUUAUAAGCGCUCCUAAAUUUGGUGUUCUGGAGAGAAAAGGUACUGACACACAAUGGAAACUACUGGAUUCUAUGAAAUUUUCACAAACUGAUAUCAAUUCGAAUCUUAUAAGGUAUCAACACACCUCCAAACUCAGAACCAUGCAUGAAGACAGUUUUAAUUUUUUCCUCUCUGAUGGAGUUCAUAAUUCAUCAUUAGCUUCAUUUGUCAUUAAAUUUAGUGAUGAUGAAAAAAAAGGGUUCAGUGUUUUAAAUAAUAAAGCUUCUAUUGAUCCUGGGGGAGAACUAAUAUUGAAUUCAUCUUUGUUGCAUAUUUUGACUAACAGUUCUGUUGAUAAUAUUUCAUUUGUGAUUUUGAGGCCACCAUAUUAUGGCAGUUUAUCACUGAAAGGUGAUGUAUUGCCUGUGAAAAACUUUACUUUAUUUCAUCUGAAAAAUAAUCUUUUAUUAUAUCUACAUAAUGAAUCACAUAAAUUUACUAAUGAUAGUUUUGAUAUAAUGAUUACCAAUGGAGUAAUUAUGAAAAAUUUAACUUUCAAUAUAGCCAUAUCAAGUUUUAUAGAUAAAUUUCCACAUUUGAGAGUACUUUUGCCAUUGGUUAUUGAUAUGAAUAAUUCUUCUUCUUUCUUUAUAACAUCCGAACAUCUGUUAGCUUCUCAGUCGUUAAUACCUAGUCGAAAUAUAACGUACAAAAUAAUAGAGAAACCCAAAUUUGGAUCAUUAAUGUAUUAUGGAAAAAUUGAGAAUCCUCUUGCAUUUUCUCAGGAAGACAUUGAUAAGGGUUUGAUAACAUAUGUACCAAAAUCAAAUUCUUCGUUUACCGAUCACUUUUUAUUUGAGGUUGCUAGCAAUCAAGAAGAUGGCUAUGUACGAAAUGAGAGUCUAACAUUGGAUCCAAGUAUAUUUCCUAUAUUUGUAAAAAAUGUGGAUAAAGUUGAAGAUCCUGUAUUGGUUAUCAAUCGUCCUGGGGACUUAGAAGAAGUAUGGAAUCAGAAUGUAGGAUUCCACAUCAACAAUUAUAAUUUGAGAGUAUCUUUUCCUGCUGCUUCACCAAAAGACAUUAAAUUUGUUAUUUCAAAGUAUUUAGAUCAUGGUUAUGUUUUUCAUCUAAAGGAAGAAAAAGUUGUGAGAUCAUUUACUCAAGAGGAUGUGAAUGAACAGUUGAUUAUCAUAAUUUUAAAGCAGCAAGCUGAAACUUCUGAUUACUUUACAUUUCAAGUUGUUGUGAAUCAUACCAGGUACAACAAAGAAUACAGGAUGGAUUUCCAAUGGGCUCUUGUAUUUUUUCCUUACCCUGAAUAUUCUGUCUGUGAAAAUGAAGGUAUUUUGCAUAUCAACGUUCAUCGAGUGGGAAAUACAGAUGUAUCCUCUUAUGUAACUGUUACAACUCUAGAGCAGACAGCAAAAAAAGGAUUAGAUUUUGUGUCAAGAAAUGUGAAUAAAAUUCAGUUUGAUCCUGGUAAAACAUUAGCAGUUUGGGAAAUUAUAAUUGUGCAAGAUGAUCUUGAGGAGGCUCCUAUUGAGCAACUUCAAGUCGUGUUGUCUGAUCCUGAAAAUUGUCUUAUAUCUAGUCACAACAGGACUGUUGUCAGUAUUUAUGAUUUGAAUAGAGGGUCAUGUUCUCAAAUACCAGUUCCAAAACCACCAGUAUCUAAAGGUAAUGAUGCAAGUAAUCCACCUAAAUCUUCUGUUAGUAUUGAUGAAGAUGAGGAUGGGAAGAAUUUUCUGGAAAGUGUUACAAGUGGAAUAAACUGCAAUCAACAUGGAGUGAUGCUCAGACAACAUGUGAAAGUUUUCCUUAUGGAGAAUUAGUGGUGGUAGAAACACCUGAGCACAAUGAUUGGUUAGUGCAGUUAGCUCGGGGAAAACUGUACUGGAUUGGUUUACAUGCUUCGACGGAAACAAAUGAAUGGAGCUACAGAAACCAUACUCAUGUUCGAUUUUUUAAUUGGAAAAAGGGGUUUCCACGUUUAUCCUUCAACAGAGAAAUUAAGCAUCGUUGUGUUUUGGUUCGAG
rnacentral:misc_RNA from 1 species